ACGAAUUUGCUACCAAACAAUUUAACACGCGUCGUGGUGAGGACACCAUGCGUGACCACGUGGCCAACAGUACAGAAUCUCAUCUAAUCCAAUAUAUUCUCUGAUUGCAAAUUCCAUCCCACAGAAAGAAUACAAUUAGGGAAAAAGAUGACAGAAGUGUUGUGAUGCUGCCAUGGUCUGCCUUGUUUCCAACUUUCAAUAGCUUUAGCAAAAGCAAAAGUUCAUGUCUCCUUCAUAUCCACACCAAAAAACAUCCAAAGACUCCCCAAAAUCUUACCAGAUUUACAACCCUGUGCAAUUAUUCCCCAUUCCAUUUCCACCGUUGGAUCCCGGCUUAUUGCCGGAAGGAGCAGAGGGCACGGUGGACCUCCCCUUUGAAAAAACUGACAACUUGAAGAUUGCAUACGACCUCCUGUAAAAACCCAUCAACCAGUUCAUUGCGGAUCGAUUGCCUGAUUGGAUCAUAACCGACUUAGCUGCUCAUUGGGUCGUAGAGACUGGCAAAGAGUACGGUGUUCCUCUUGUCUAUUUUUCUGUUUUCUCUGCUGCUACAAGGGCCUUUGUUAGUUCAGCUCAAAACCUCUCGGGUGGUAAUACAAAUGAUGUUCUGCCGUCGCCGAAAACCCUUACUUUGCCGCCGGAUUUGGUUAUUUUAAGUCAACGGUCGCGUUCCAAGGGCAGGAGGCUGGCUUUUAUGGAGUGAAUGAUUCCGGGAUUAGUGAUGCCGAAAGGAGGGCCACGACUCUAUCUUCUUGUCCAGUUCACGCCAUUCGGAGUUGCGAGGAGUUUGAAGGAGAGUACUUGGAACAUAUAAGAACAACUCCGGGAAACUUGUGAUUCCUACUGGUUUGCUUCCUCCUGAGAUACCUGCAAAAGGGGUAAAAAGGGAAAUUUCCACUGCUGAUGGGAUCUUUGAAUGGCUCGAUAAGCAAAAAACCAGGUCAGUUGUGUUUGUAGGGUUUGCGAGUGAGUGUAAGUUGAGUAAUGAGCAAAAAUUCAAAAGGGCUCAGAUAAUUAAGGAACACGGUGCUAAGAUAUGACCACUCAAUAGUCUCGAAAAUUAUAUUUUGGAAUGCUACAUUUCGGUACAGAGAAGAUUUUUUCAUGAAAAUAUGAGUCACACUAGUUUGUCAAAGGUUUUGUUGAGUUGAGAAGAGCUCUGAAACUAGGAUCCAUUGUGAGGUAUCCAUUGCUAUGUGGUACAUGUAGAAACGUUGACACUGACUUUUUCGUUAACACAAGUCUCAACGUUAAACCUUUCGUUUUUACUCUUUGAUCCAAGGUUAAACCUCUUAUGUGUUGUAAAAAAUUAUUUGGGGAUCAUCAUUCAUUGUAUGGGGGUGAGAUUGGAAUGUUGCGUAAAUCGGGUUUCACAAAUCUAACCACACAUUGUCAUGCAAUUAUGAUUGGUUAAGUCUUUUUAUAGAAAAGAGAAUCAAAACAAUUGCAAAAUUUUCGUGUAAGAUAACCGCAGAUUCCGCUAAGAGCAAUUCCACCCCUGUGGACUUUGCGCCAGCAUCCAGCGCAUUUAUCCACUCAAAUGAACAGUAAUAGACUGGAGUGAACAGUAAUAGGCCAAGGCAUCUCCACCCCUAAAAAAAUGCGCUGGCACCCAGCGUAUUUAUUUGGUGUGUUUUUUUUUUAAGUUUAUUUUGGAUAAGAUUUUUAACCCAUUUAAAAUAAAGAAUAAAAAAAUAAAAUAGUUUUAAUCUCGUCACGCCACGUGUCAUUAUCUGAACGUACUAUUUUGUGAAUAGAUUUUCGAUAUUAUUUUCAACCAAUCCCGACACGCCACGUGUCACUUCCGUGGUACAAUAAUUUAGCCAAGAUUUCGAUAAUUGAAAUGUGGUGUAAAGGUGAAAGAUGAGGGUUAGGUAUUUAUAGGAAAAAAAAUAACAUUUUUCAAUUAUUUCUGUAAUUUUUUUAAAAUUUUCUAUAUUUUUUAAUAAUUUUUCUGUAUUUUUUAAUAUUUUUUAAUGAAUUUUAAUAUAGUUAAUUAAUCUGGACCGUUGGAUUUGAAAAAUAUUCAAAUCCAAGAGCCAGGGACUUGCCACGUGGCCAACGGUCAUAUUUCUGACCGUUGGGGCCUUUUUUUUUUUUUUUUUUUUUUUUACUUUUUUGUAAAAAGAACGUGGACCGUUGAUUUUUGAUCUGACGGUCCAUGUUAAAAGUAAAAUUUAAAUUUUUUUUACCGUUGGAAAUCCAACGGCACUGAGGAGGGCCACGUAGCCCUAUUCCGGGUUCUCCACAAGUGGGCUGACAAGCGGGCCCCCCCCCCGCCUGCAACCCGGUUCCCUACUCGCGCUUCUGCGCGUUUGUGCUGCACGCGCCUUCUAAACAGGCCGGUCUCUGGGUAUGUCCGAAAUAGGCUGGCCCGUUGCCUAGCUUGGGCUGUGUCCCAGGCUCUUUCGCGGGCUGGAGCAACUUGACAAGGGGCUGGGCUGUUUUUUGGACUUGGUGUUGGGCAAUUUCCACUGGGGUGGAAUUGCUCUAAAGGGUACUAAUCAAACAUGUCUAUAAAAAGGAGAGAAGAAUUGCAACUAUCAUUUCUUAAAGGAGAAUAAAGGAAAGAAGGAAAGAAAAAGUGGGGAAAGAGGGGGGCGGCCAACGGUGAAACCUAACCCCAUUUGGAUUAGAAUAAUACUAUCAAGAACACGUUACUGUAUGAAAAAAAAGCACAUCAACAACAGAGGUUCUUUUGUAGGGGUGGAAAAAAUUCCCAAAAAUCCCGAACCGAACCGAAAAAAUUCCGAUCCCAAACCAAAAAUUUUCCAAAUUGAAAUUCUUGAAAUUUUUGGGAUGCUAUCCCAAACCGAUCCCGAAAUUUUGAUACGGGAUUCAGGAUUGACUUCUCGAUAUUUCGGGAAUCCCAUACCGAACCGAAAAUAUAUAUUAUUAAUUAUUAUAUAUAUAUAUUUAUACAUAUAUAUUAUUCUUUUAUAAUUGAUUAUGGACUUUAUGGUUUGAAUUUAUUACAGAGAAUGGAAUAUGUUAUGAAUUAUGAUAUGACAUAAGCAAUGUUGUUUUAUUUAUGUCGAAACCAAGAAUGUUGGAUCAGCUAGUUACUAUGCUUGAGUCUCUUUACUGUUUACACCAAUAAAUGGAGCUUGUUGGCAUUGUAAAUAUGUAUUUUACAUAUGUAGAUUACUGGUAAAUGGACAACAAAGCAGCACAAGGUAGCAAUGCUUGUCAAUCAGGUUAAGAGCCUUCAAGCAAAGUUUACAGUUUGCAAUCCAAUGCUUGUGCCCCGAUAUGAGAUUAUAUUUGCAUUUAAACUAGCAAGAGAUGUGAAUGAGACUUGCUUGAUAUGUUUGCACAAUCUAACAAUUCAUUCAAUGAGUUACAUGAGCAUAAUAUGUCAAAUUUUAGUCCAAAAGCCCAAAAGCCCAAAAGCCCAAAACCAUUUCGGGAUUCCCGAAAAUUUUAUUUGGGAUCGGUAUUCAAAUUGGGAUUCUCGAAAAAUUUGGUUUGGGAAUCGGGACAAGGGUUUCGGUAUGGGAUCCCAUACCGAACCACCUCUAUUCUUUUGCAUUCAACUUCUAGCAAGUCCAACAGACAAUCAGUUAUGGUGUUUCUUGAUAAUUAUUUUGUUUUUAAUUUUACUUUUUUUUAAAUUGAAAAUUUCUUGAUAAUUAUUUCGUUUUUAAUUUUACUUUUUUUUAAAAUUGAAAAUUUAAAUCUUGUUUGGUAAUUACUUUAGUAGUUUUUUAAAUUUGGUCUUAAGUUUUCACUUUUUUUGUUUUCAAUUUUUUUUUUUAAACUGAAAACUUAAAACAGUUACCAAAUAAAUUUUUAGUUUUCAAAAAAGUGAAAACCGAAAUUUGAAAUGAAAAGCUGAAAACAGAAAACGAAAAACGGCCUCUAAGAGCAACUCCACCCUUGGAGCCCUCCCCUUGGCAAUCCACUAUUCAAUCCACCUAGUGAACAGUAACUACCCUUAAUAAACAGUAAUUGCCAUUUGCAUCUCCACACUUGGAACCCUCCCCCUGGCAAUUGAUAAUAAAAUAUUAAUAUUUUUUUCUCACCAAAUCCAUAAAAUAUUAUUAUUUUUCCCUAAUUUUGACCGGUCCCCCCUUCUCUCUCUCUCUCUCUCUUUCUCUCUCUCUCACAGCAGCAGCCAUGGAAGCUUCACCAGCUCUGUCGCACAUAGGCUUGGCAGGCCUCGCCGUCAUGGGGCAAAAUCUCACCCUCAACAUCGUCGAGAAAGGGUUUCCAAUCUCCGUCUACAACCCUCGCGAUUUUGUGCUCUCCAUCGAACGGCCCAGAUCCGUUAUUAUCCUCGUCAAAGCUGGAGGGGAAGGAAGGCAAGGAAGGGAAGGAGGACGCAGAGAACACUGAGUGCAUGCACCAAUGCCGCACAUCAGCCAUACAUCACACAGCCCUUAGGCUCUCGAGCUGGCAAUCCCCGCCGGGCCUGUCGCUCGGGCCUGACCUGUCCCUCGAGCUCGCAUACGCUGGAGCCCCAUCCUCUGGCUGUCGGGCCCUUUCUCUUCGCCUAUCCCCCGAGCAACCAGCAACGCUGGAGUUGCUCUAAGGAAAUCACAUUUUUAUUACAUUGAUAUACCAUCUGAUUGGGUAAGUGAUGUGCACAUGCCACGGUAAUUAAUAAUUUUAUUUCAUUGAGUGGCAGUUGUAUAUGUAACACUUGGCACAUUAGAUGAUACAUCAAUAUGAUUUAAAUAUGUAGUCUUCCUACUAUUACAUUUUAUUUCUUAACUAAUUUUGGAUAGAACUUUUAUAAAUUUCUAAAGAAAAAAAAAUAUUUUUUUUCACUAAAAUCAAACUAAGCAGCAAAUAAAACACGUUUUAGGUUUUUUUUUCUCUCUUAAUGCAUAAUGUUUAUAUUACAUCCUCACUUGGUGUUAAUUACAUAUAAUAAUAUGAGAGUAUAGAGGCGGCAUUUUUCCAACUUAAAGUAUAACGUCAAUAAUUAAAUACAUAUAUUAUAACACAAUGAAAUUAUUAAGAAGCCGUUUGAUAAGUAUUUCGUUUCCAGUUUUCAUUGUUUUGAAAACUGAAAAUUAAAAUCUUAUUUGAUAAUUACUUUUAAUUUUCAGGUUUCAAAAAAUACAAACUAAAAAACUAAAAAGUGAAAACUAAAGGAAAAUUUAAAAAAAAUAAAGGAAUGUUGUGACUUGUUUUAUUUGAGAGAAAGAGAUGGUGCAGUGCGGCAUAGACAGAAAAUGAGAGACGAAGAACACGCUUGAGAAAUUCUGUGUGUUAUUCUAUAUACCUUGUGCCUUUAUUUAUAGUAAAUUAAUAACGAUUUUUUACCUUGUAAGUAAUACAAAAAAGAUCUUCUAGUAUCCUAUAUACAAUCUACAAAUGAUUUACAAGAUUGCUAGAAUUAUAUUCACAACAAGAAAGUAGUUUUCAGUUUUUAUUUGAAAGUAGUAAUCGAACUAGAUUUCAAUUUUUGCAUUUUUGAAAAUUAAAAAAUAAAUUAAAAUCUAAAAUGAAAAGAUGAUCAAAACCAACACGGGACGUUACUAAGCAAUUCAACACGUGUUAUGGCCGGAACACCGUACGCGAACACGUGGCCAGCGGUACAGCAUGUCAUUUAGUCCAAUAAACCGACAAUCUCGUUCAGAACUACAUUUUAAUUCUCUCAUUGCAAAUUCCAUCCCACAGAAAGAAUACGAUACAAUUAUGGAAAAAGAUGAUCAUCUUAGCGUUGUGAUGCUGCCAUGGUCUGCCUUUGGCCACAUGAUGCCUUUUUUCCAACUUUCAAUAGCUUUAGCAAAAGCGAAAGUUCAUGUCUCCUUCAUUUCCACACCAAAAAACAUCCAAAGACUCCCCAAAAUCUUACCAGAUUUACAACCCUUUGUGCAGUUAGUCCCCAUUCCAUUUCCACCGUUGGAUCCCGACUUAUUGCCGGAAGGAGCUGAGGCCACCGUGGACCUCCCCUUUGAAAACACUGACAACUUGAAGAUUGCAUACGACCUCCUGCAAACACCCAUCAAGCAGUUCAUUGGGGAUCGAUUGCCUGAUUGGAUCAUAACCGACUUUGUUGCUCAUUGGGUUGCAGAUAUUGGCAAAGAGUACGGCGUUCCACUUGUCUAUUUUUCUGUUUUCUCUGCUGCUUCAAGG
rnacentral:lncRNA from 1 species